rnacentral:rRNA from 1 species
GUGUCAGCAGCCGCGGUAAUACGGAGGGUGCGAGCGUUAUCCGGAAUCACUGGGUUUAAAGGGUGCGUAGGCGGCCUGGUAAGUCAGGGGUGAAAUCUUGCCGCUUAACGGUAAAAUGGCCUUGGAUACUGGUAGUCUUGAGUGUAGAAGAGGCAGGUGGAAUUCGUAGUGUAGCGGUGAAAUGCAUAGAUAUUACGAAGAACAUCAGUGGCGAAGGCGGCCUGCUGGUCUACAACUGACGCUGAGGCACGAAAGCGUGGGGAGCGAACAGGAUUAGAUACCCUGGUAGUCCACGCUGUAAACGAUGCAUACUAGGUGUUGGCCUUUUGGGGUCAGUGCUGCAGUUAACGCAUUAAGUAUGCCACCUGGGGAGUACGUCGGCAACGAUGAAACUUAAAUGAAUUGACGGGG